rnacentral:rRNA from 1 species
UUGAUAACUUAGUGGCGGACGGGUGAGUAACGCGUGGGUAACCUGCCGUAUACAGGGGGAUAACACUUAGAAAUAGGUGCUAAUACCGCAUAAGCGCACGGUUCCGCAUGGGACAGUGUGAAAAACCGAGGUGGUAUACGAUGGACCCGCGUCUGAUUAGCCAGUUGGCAGGGUAACGGCCUACCAAAGCGACGAUCAGUAGCCGGCCUGAGAGGGCGGACGGCCACAUUGGGACUGAGACACGGCCCAAACUCCUACGGAAGGCAGCAG